CCUACGGGAGGCAGCAGUAGGGAAUAUUGCUCAAUGGGGGAAACCCUGAAGCAGCAACGCCGCGUGGAGGAUGAAGGUUUUCGGAUUGUAAAAUCCUUUUGUUAGAGAAGAAAAUGACGGUAUCUAACGAAUAAGCACCGGCUAACUCCGUGCCAGCAGUCGCGGUAAUACGGAGGGUGCAAGCGUUACUCGGAAUCACUGGGCGUAAAGAGCGCGUAGGCGGGAUAGCAAGUCAGAUGUGAAAUCCUAUGGCUUAACCAUAGAACUGCAUUUGAAACUGGUAUUCUAGAGUAUGGGAGAGGUAGGUGGAAUUCUUGGUGUAGGGGUAAAAUCCGUAGAGAUCAAGAGGAAUACUCAUUGCGAAGGCGACCUGCUAGAACAUAACUGACGCUGAUGCGCGAAAGCGUGGGUAGCAAACAGGAUUAGAUACCCCGGUAGUC
rnacentral:rRNA from 1 species